UAUGUGUGCUUCACACUUAGUGCUAUAGCAAUGUCUGCUAUAUGUACCCAUCUCCACCCAGAGAUGUGAACACUGAAGCCACUUUAUGAUGAUGGACUGUGUUUGGAAUAUCUGAAAGCUGUGACUCCCCCCAGGGGUAUACACAUGUGCUAGGGCUCCCUGGCCUCUAUGGCUGAGUGAUGAAUGAAAGUUUGAUAGCCCAGAGAAUUAGCACUGGCUCCAGUGACUGGCUUUAAAUUUUCCUCAUUCUCUUACAAUGUCAGGAACCUGGGUCAUUCAUCACUGCAUCAUCUCUAUUUAAGGAUGUAAACCUAAACCUCAGAUUCUGCUAUGAUCCUCCACCAGGACCUCCACAGGAGCUAGAAGAACACAGAAUGGACUGAGUACAUUGGAGUGUGUUAAGGAUGUCUCAAGGAACUUUCUUGUUUUUGGCGGACACAUCUUUGUUUGUAUGUGGUGC